rnacentral:rRNA from 1 species
UACGUAGGCAGCAAGCGUUGUUCGGAGUUACUGGGCGUAAAGAGUGCGUAGGCGGUCCUGUAAGUUUGGUGUGAAAUCUCCCGGCUCAACUGGGAGGGUGCGCCGAAGACUGCAGGGCUUGAGUAUGGGAGAGGUAAGCGGAAUUCCUGGUGUAGCGGUGAAAUGCGUAGAUAUCAGGAGGAACACUGUGGUGUAGACAGCUUACUGGACCAUAACUGACGCUGAGGCACGAAAGCGUGGGUAGCAAACAGG